rnacentral:rRNA from 1 species
AGGAAAAGAAACCAACAGGGAUUGCCUCAGUAACGGCGAGUGAAGCGGCAACAGCUCAAAUUUGAAAUCUGGCCUCUUCGGGGUCCGAGUUGUAAUUUGUAGAGGAUGUUUCGGGUACCGCCCCGGUCUAAAUUUCUUGGAACAGAAUGUCAAAGAGGGUGAGAAUCCCGUCUUGGACCGGCGGUAGGGCCUAUGUGAAACUCCUUCGACGAGUCGAGUUGUUUGGGAAUGCAGCUCAAAAUGGGUGGUAUAUUUCAUCUAAAGCUAAAUAUUGGCCAGAGACCGAUAGCGCACAAGUAGAGUGAUCGAAAGAUGAAAAGCACUUUGAAAAGAGAGUUAAACAGUACGUGAAAUUGUUGAAAGGGAAGCGCUUGCAAUCAGACUUGAGCGCGGCGGUUCCCCCUUCCUUUUGGCUGGGUUAUUCCGCCGUGUCCAGGCCAACAUCGGUUCUGGGGGUCGGUUAAAGGCUCUGGGAAUGUAUCUUCCUUCGGGUUGACUUAUAGCCCAGGGUGUCAUGCGACCUCCCGGGACCGAGGAACGCGCUUCGGCUCGGACGUUGGCGUAAUGGUUGUCA